AAGACACAGAGUAAAGAAGGCCUUUCACUUUUGACUACCGACUCCGGAAAGAUUUGGUGAUAAAUGGUAGCCGUACUGAUCCAGCUGCAUUGUUGCAGAGGUGGGGGCAAGCGUCAAGUCAAGAAGGCCGAUACCCUGUGGCUACUUUGUCGCCAUGCUUCAUCCCAUUGCUACUAUAUAGGCUCUUUAACUCCAUUUUUAAUGCCCGGCUGCAAUUGUCAACAGCCUGGUCAGUGGGGACGAUCUCAAAUCUCUCCUUCAUAGUUUCCAGUUUUCUCUGCACCUGCACCCUUGCCAGUCCAGUCUUAAAAGAGACAGGAGAGCUGGAUCACAUCUCAUGCUACAGCUUACUGGCGCAGUAUUUUAAGGGUUCAUUCCGACAGGAAGCCAUUUAUUUCCCAAUUGAACAGAAGAUCAAUCAGUAGCAAGCUCACAUUUCGAUGCUUCAGAGACGAAGGGUUGACUUGGUCACAAGUAAACACUAACUAGACCUGUUACCAAAUAACUCCACAUAAUAUUUACUUCCCGAUGUACAGAUUAGGACUGUAAUUGAAUGGAGUUGCUUUCGAGUA